rnacentral:rRNA from 1 species
AACGAACGCUGGCGGCAGGCCUCAAACAUGCAAGUCUAGGGGGUAGCAAUACCACCGGCGGACGGGUGCGUAACGCGUGGGAACAUACCUUUCGGUACGGAACAACCCAGGGAAACUUGGGCUAAUACCGUAUACGCCCUUACGGGGAAAGAUUUAUCGCCGAAGGAUUGGCCCGCGUUCGAUUAGCUAGUUGGUGAGGUAAAGGCUCACCAAGGCUACGAUCGAUAGCUGUUCUGAGAGGAAGAUCAGCCACACUGGGACUGAGACACGGCCCAGACUCCUACGGGAGGCAGCAGUUGGGAAUCUUGGACAAUGGGGGAAACCCUGAUCCAGCCAUGCCGCGUGAGUGAUGAAGGCCUUCGGGUUGUAAAACUCUUUCGACGGGGACGAUAAUGACGGUACCCGUAGAAGAAGCUCCGGCUAACUUCGUGCCAGCCGCCGCCGUAA